rnacentral:rRNA from 1 species
UACGUAGGGGGCGAGCGUUGUCCGGAUUUAUUGGGCGUAAAGAGCGUGUAGGCGGUUCGGUAAGUCUGUCGUGAAAUCCUGAGGCUCAACCUCGGGCGUGCGAUGGAUACUGCCGGGCUAGAGGGUGGUAGAGGCGAGUGAAUUCCCGGUGUAGCGGUGAAAUGCGCAGAUAUCGGGAGGAACACCAGUAGCGAAGGCGGCUCGCUGGGCCACACCUGACGCUGAGACGCGAAAGCUAGGGGAGCGAACAGG